GAUGAACGCUGGCGGCGUGCCUAAUACAUGCAAGUCGAGCGAACGGACGAGAAGCUUGCUUCUCUGAUGUUAGCGGCGGACGGGUGAGUAACACGUGGAUAACCUACCUAUAAGACUGGGAUAACUUCGGGAAACCGGAGCUAAUACCGGAGAAUAUUUUGAACCGCAUGGUUCAAAAGUGAAAGACGGUCUUGCUGUCACUUAUAGAUGGAUCCGCGCUGCAUUAGCUAGUUGGUAAGGUAACGGCUUACCAAGGCAACGAUGCAUAGCCGACCUGAGAGGGUGAUCGGCCACACUGGAACUGAGACACGGUCCAGACUCCUACGGGAGGCAGCAGUAGGGAAUCUUCCGCACUGGGCGCCAGCCUGACGGAGCAACGCCGCGUGAGUGAUGAAGGUCUUCGGAUCGUAAAACUCUGUUAUUAGGGAAGAACAUCUGUGUAAGUACCUGUGCACAUCUUGACGGUACCUAAUCAGAAAGCCACGGCUAACUACGUG
rnacentral:rRNA from 1 species